AUUGAACGCUGGCGGCAUGCCUUACACAUGCAAGUCGAACGGCAGCACGGACUUCGGUCUGGUGGCGAGUGGCGAACGGGUGAGUAACGCGUGGGUAACCUGCCCUAUGGAAAGGAAUAGCCUCGGGAAACUGGGAGUAAUGCCUUAUAAGAUACAUUUGUCGCAUGGCAGAAGUAUUAAACGCUCCGGUGCCAUAGGAUGGACCCGCGUCCCAUUAGCUAGUUGGUGAGAUAACAGCCCACCAAGGCGACGAUGGGUAACCGGUCUGAGAGGGCGAACGGUCACACUGGAACUGAGACACGGUCCAGACUCCUACGGGAGGCAG
rnacentral:rRNA from 1 species